UUGAACCACAGGAAAGAUAAGGCCUUCACCGUCCAUUCACGUCCUGGGUAGUAUUUCUAUUCUGUGCACUGGGCUCCGUAACGGAGAAAACUUCAGCAACCCUGCCUCCCUGGCUUCUACGGUAGCAGAGGAUGAGACUACAACCAAAGUAUCUUCUGUCUUCUUCGGAAUCAGCAAGAGGAUGGGACAUGACCUCUCCGGGCUUUUGACGUUACAAUCAGAAGCGUGGUGUUUCCUGUGGCGUGUCAUCCUUUACAGCGCUGAGAUGCCCCCAAGUUAACAAUAGAAACGACUCUGGUCCAGAUCACCACAUCAAGAGGUUCGUUUAGUUUCUGCACUUAAAAUGAGAUGGACCAUUCUUAGUUUCUCUGCGAAAUUUCUCUCCCCCAUAUGCUCGCUCACAAAUAAAG
rnacentral:lncRNA from 1 species